GUGAGCCGGUGGGCGGCCUCCGAGCCCCGAGGAGGGCUUGGGGAAACUCCACCCACCAGGCAGGGCCGCGGCGCCGCGAGGCGCAGGGCGAGAGCCCUGGCUCCGGAACAGAAACGAGACCUCCAUCCACAGGAUGGCUAUGAGACGCCGAUGAGGCGUCGAGGACGUGGAUGGAUGGGGUGAGACGGCCGACCCGCGGGGUGGAAGGGCGAGUAGGCGUCAAUGAGUCCUGCCCGAGACGCCGGGUGGCCCGUUCAGCCGAAUGCCGCCCAGAACAGAAGGUGGGUUACGGCCGGCACAC
rnacentral:RNase_P_RNA from 1 species